rnacentral:rRNA from 1 species
CCUCCCCGUACUCAAAUCGUCUUCCUCCCCUUUGCCAGAUUCUGUACCAGUACAUCCUCUUGAAGCUAGGGUUAAGGUCCAGCGAGCUCAAAGAUUGAUCUCAGAGCUUAACGAAACGCGGCUGUCUCUCCCUCUUCUGUACCACUCAGGCGAAUUAGGGCUAUUAAAUUUCGACGGUCUCUCUCAACAAUCCGCCGCCGGCGCCGCCGGCGCCGUCAGCACUAUCCAACGAUAGCAGCUCAAGGAUGUAGGUCAUUACGGAGUCUCAUUGCCCGGAGCCGGUAAAUCUGUUGAAGAGCCUGAGCUAUGACUGGGUAAUCUUCAGAGGAGUCAUCUUCAUAGGUCUCCAAGAUGGCAUUGAUGAAACUGAUAAUUUCACCUCUCAUACUAGUCCAGAUCGUGUAUGGCUGUCUCAGGCUUCAGUUUUUGUAGCACCAUGUAAUCAUCAAGAAUGUACAUUUGCUAGAAAAUCUUGUAUGCAGGUUUUCUGUAGUUUACAUGAGUGGUUGUUGUACA